GCUACACACGUGCUACAAUGGCGCAUACAAAGAGAAGCGACCUCGCGAGAGCAAGCGGACCUCAUAAAGUGCGUCGUAGUCCGGAUUGGAGUCUGCAACUCGACUCCAUGAAGUCGGAAUCGCUAGUUGCGGCCUGCCAGACAUCGCCCGC
rnacentral:rRNA from 1 species